ACUGUCUAUACACACCAUCCUAUUUAACUACUGUCUAUACACACCACCCUAUUUAACUACUGUAGGUUAACUGUCUGUCCUUGUGAAGUUUUUGACAGUUGUACCUCACCCUCUCUAAACAUAAUGACUUUUUUUCAUGAACUUUGACCACAAUGUAUUAUUUACCCAUAGGUUUGUCUUAUAUGUGUAUCAUGUUGCAUGUGGGACGAAAGGUGUUAUGUUGUAGAGACAGUGUAGAGACAGUGUAGGACUAUCUGUGUUAUCAUGUUGUAGAGACAGUGUAGAGACAGUGUAGGACGAAAGGUGUUAUCAUGUUGUAGAGACAGUGUAGGACUAUCUGUGGGACGAAAGGUGUUAUCAUGUUGUAGAGACAGUGUAGGACUAUCUGUGGGACGAAAGGUGUUAUCAUGUUGUAG
rnacentral:lncRNA from 1 species